rnacentral:rRNA from 1 species
GAUUUGUCUGGUUAAUUCCGUUAACGAACGAGAUCUUAACCUGCUAAAUAGCGGUGACNUCUCCGGAUAUGCUCGUCGCUUCUUAGAGGGACUUUGUUACAUUCAAGUUCAAGGAAGUUUGAGGCAAUAACAGGUCUGUGAUGCCCUUAGAUGUUCUGGGCUGCACGCGCGCUACACUGAUGCGUUCAACGAGUUGUUAACCUUGUCAGACAUGAUUGGGUAACCUUUUGAAAGCGCAUCGUGAUGGGGAUAGAUUAUUGUAAUUGUUAGUCUUCAACGAGGAAUUCCUAGUAAGCACGAGUCAUCAGCUCGCGCUGAUUACGUCCCUGCCCUUUGUACACACCGCCCGUCGCUGCUACCGAUUGUGUGAUCCGGUGAGUAAUUCGGACCAGCUKUUGCCUGAGUUCGCUCAGCGUCAGCGGAAAGUCUAGCAAGCCUUAUCACUUAGAGGAAGCAGAAGUCGUAACAAGGUUUCCGUAGUGAACCUGCAGAAGGAUCA